rnacentral:rRNA from 1 species
AACGAACGCUGGCGGCGUGGAUAAGACAUGCAAGUCGAACGGAUUCGUUGUCGUAGCAAUACGAUGGCGGGUCAGUGGCGCAAGGGUGCGUAACACGUGGGCAACCUGCCCUGAAGUUGGGGAUAGCCCGCCGAAAGGCGGAUUAAUACCGAAUGUGGCUAGUCAACGAUUGUUGGCGACGCUAAAGGUGGCGCAAGCUGCCGCUUCUGGAUGGGCCCGCGGCCUANCAGCUAGUUGGUGAGGUAACGGCUCACCAAGGCUAUGACGGGUAGCUGGUCUGAGAGGACGACCAGCCACACUGGAACUGAGACACGGUCCAGACACCUACGGGUGGCAGCAGUCGAGAAUUUUUCGCAAUGGGGCAACCCUGACGGAGCGACGCCGCGUGGAGGAUGAAGGUCUUCGGAUUGUAAACUCCUGUCAUUGGUGAACAAAGUCUUCCGGUUAACUGCCGGGGAUCUGCUAGUAGCCGAAGAGGAAGGGACGGC